GCCCUGAGUUAGCACAGGAGAUGGUGAACCCGACCCAACUACCGCCAGUGAGCCCAUGCCAGAUUGAGGACUGUACGGAUAACGUACCGCGGGAUUGUGCAGCCAAUCCUGAGCCAAGGUUGAUGAAUGGCCUUGGGUUCGAUUUUUUAAGAAAUCAAGGAAGAACAUGUGGUCUAUGAGUGAAACCCGUCAUACUCUCCUUACAAGUGAUGUUGUUGGCAAGGUUGAUCGCCCUGAAAUCAUUCUGACUGGCAGAAGAUUGUAUUAUACAUUUACAGAUGCACAGCUCCUGUGAAGAAAAUCCCAGGAUGUUUAAAAAAAAAAAAAAAGUUAAUUAGAGAAAGGACACAACUGUGAUGUUAUAGACGUUUUUAAAUUAGAGAAAGGACACAACUGUGAUGUUGUAGACAUUUUUAAUCACACUACACCUUGUAACAAGAAAUUCAUAAAUGUUGAAGUUUCUAUGUGAAA